CAAGUCGCACGAGAAAGGGAGCAAUCCUGAGUACGGUGGCGCACGGGUGAGUAACACGUGGAUCAUCUACCUUUUAGUGGGGAAUACCUCUGGGAAACCGGAGACAAUACCGCAUAAGCCUGUAAAGGGAAAGCAGCAAUGCGCUGAAAGAGGAGUCCGCGGCUGAUUAGCUAGAUGGCGGGGUAAUGGCCCACCAUGGCGAAGAUCGGUAGCCGGCCUGAGAGGGCACACGGCCACACUGGCACUGAAAUACGGGCCAGACUCCUACGGGAGGCAGCAGUGGGGAAUCUUGCACAAUGGAGGAAACUCUGAUGCAGCGACGCCGCGUGAGCGAUGAAGCCCUUCGGGGUGUAAAGCUCUUUCGACGGGAACGAUAAUGACGGUACCCGGAGAAGAAGCUGCGGCUAACUACGUGCCAGCAGCCGCGGUAAUACGUAGGCAGCGAGCGUUGUUCGGAAUUAUUGGGCGUAAAGAGUGUGUAGGCGGUGCUCCAAGUCUGUCGUGAAAUCUCCCGGCUUAACUGGGAGGGUGCGGCGGAAACUGGAAUGCUAGAGGGUGGGAGAGGUAAGCGGAAUUCCUGGUGUAGCGGUGAAAUGCGUAGAUAUCAGGAGGAACACCUGUGGUGUAGACAGCUUACUGGACCACUUUCUGACGCUGAAACACGAAAGCGUGGGUAGCAAACAGGGAUUAGAUACCCUGGUAGUCCACGCCC
rnacentral:rRNA from 1 species